GUGCCAGCCKCCRMRRWAAUACGUGGGGUGCGAGCGUUAAUCGGAAUUACUGGGCGUAAAGCGUGCGCAGGCGGUUAUGUAAGACAGAUGUGAAAUCCCCGGGCUCAACCUGGGAACUGCAUCUGUGAYUGYWUGGCUAGAGUACGGUAGAGGGGGAUGGAAUUCCGCGUGUAGCAGUGAAAUGCGUAGAUAUGCGGAGGAACACCGAUGGCGAAGGCAAUCCCCUGGACCUGUACUGACGCUCAUGCACGAAAGCGUGGGGAGCAAACAGGAUUAGUUACCCUGKUAKUCCACGCCCUAAACGAUGUCAACUGGUUGUUGGGAAUUAGUUUUCUCAGUAACGAAGCUAACGCGUGAAGUUGACCGCCUGGGGAGUACGGYCGCWAGGUUGAAACUCAAAGGAAUUGACGGGGGCCCGCACAAKCGGUGGAGCAUGUGGUUUAAUUCGAUGCAACGCGAAGAACCUUACCUGGUCUUUGACAUCCACGGAAGUUUUCAGAGGUGAGAAUGUGCCUUUCGGGAACCGUGAGACUGGUGCUGCAUGGCUG
rnacentral:rRNA from 1 species